rnacentral:miRNA from 1 species
CAACUUUUUGGCAACUUCCGUCAACCAAGACCGCAGAAUUUUGGUACCAUUGGAAUUCCCACAAUCUCCUCUUCAAUUUCUAUCGAAAAUCUCCCCAUAAAUCCAAAGGAUUUGGCCGGAAUAAACCCACAAAUUUGGCAUCCUGGAUCUGCCCAGAUUUAUACCUUUUUGGGAUGCCAACUUUGUGAGUUUAUUCCGACCGAAUCCUUUGGAUUUUUGGGGAGAUUUUGGAUGCUAAUUAAAGAGAACAUUGUGGGCUUUCCAACAGUAUCAAAAUUUGGCUAUUUUGGUAGUCGGAAGUUGUCAAAAAAUUG